GUUGUCUUUGCUUUCAGACUCAAUAUGAGACCAGUGAUGGGAAGAGAAUUCCCAUUCCAUCUCUGCCAGCCAGCCCUGAGGUGAUGCUGGCAGCAAAUGGCACAACUGAAACCAUUGGGGAGAAUACGUUUACCACUAUCCUCUCCCGCAUAGUCUUUGAGAAACCCAAGACCAUCCCUUGCACCCCUGAAACAUUCCCAGAGACUCGUGCUCUUGAGGCGGCCCUCAACGAUACAGUUGUGUCUAAGUGCCCGGCGUGCUCAUCGUCCCCUUUCUCGCUCGUCGUCAUUGUUGAAGUGGUCAYGCCUUUGAAGGUCCAUCUGGAUGUGAACUUGUGCACCAUGAAUAUUUCUCUUAACCUGGAGAUAAUGAGUAAAAAAGGAAAUGAGAGCUUGCUGGUUCUUGCUCUCCUGGAGGCUAAACUCGAUUUGGCAGCCACUCUUCACGUCACYGAAGGGGAAGUGCAGUUCAGCGUGGCCCUUGACAGCCUGGCUCUCUCGCUGGUUUCCUCAGUCAACGGCACCACGGAUGUUAAACUACUUCAGAAACCCUUGAGAGCUUUUGUUCAAGAAGUUAUAAUAAAUGAAAUCAAUUCGUAUCUCAAAAUUGGAAAAAUCCCAAUACUUAGGAUCCCAGGACUGACAUACACAGCUGUCGACUGCCGCGCUGCACAGCGCUGUAUUGUGUGCCAUAACUACCACAAGAAAAAGAAAAACUGACGUACAGGAUGAGUUGCUUGCUGUCGCGUCUCUUACACUGAACAGCAAAGACAGAGACCGUCAUGAGUGAAGAUAUUUUAAUUCAUAUAAUUCUUUAUUCUAAAACGUUGAUUGCUUUUUUUUUAAUGGGGGAAAAACUCCUACAUCUGCUUUAGAAUUACAGUUAAGGAAGUACAGAGGAUCCAAACAGUCUCUUUGUUAAAAAUACAUUCUACUAGAAGUGCUGUUUUCCGAAAUCAAUGAUGUGUUUGGUUAUAUGCUUCAAGGGAAAGUUUGGGACAUUGGUUACUGUUCUUGCUUUCUUUUGGCUGCUCUAAAUAAAUGGCUGUACUUUGCCA
rnacentral:lncRNA from 1 species